rnacentral:rRNA from 1 species
UAAUCUUAGUGGCGGACGGGUGAGUAACGCGUGGGUAACCUGCCUUACACUGGGGGAUAACACUUAGAAAUAGGUGCUAAUACCGCAUAAGCGCACGAAGCCGCAUGGAUUUGUGUGAAAAACUCCGGUGGUGUAAGAUGGACCCGCGUCUGAUUAGCUUGUUGGCGGGGUAACGGCCCACCAAGGCGACGAUCAGUAGCCGGCCUGAGAGGGUGGACGGCCACAUUGGGACUGAGACACGGCCCAAACUCCUACGGAAGGCAGCAG